rnacentral:rRNA from 1 species
GAGUGGCGGACUGGUGAGUAACGCGUGGGUGAUCUACCUUUAAGAUGGGGAUAGCUUUUAGAAAUAAGAGAUAAUACCGAAUGUGCUUAUUGAAUUAUGAUUUGAUAAGGAAAGGGGCGAAUGCCUCGCUUAAAGAUGAGCCUGCGUCCCAUUAGCUAGUUGGCAAGGUAAAGGCUUACCAAGGCGAUGAUGGGUAUCCGACCUGAGAGGGUGAACGGACACAUUGGGACUGAGAUACGGCCCAAACUCC